UACAGAGGUGGCAAGCGUUGUUCGGAAUUACUGGGCGUAAAGGGCGCGUAGGUGGCCUUCUUAGUCAGACGUGAAAUCCCCAGGCUUAACCUGGGAACUGCGUCUGAUACUGGAAGACUCGAGUUCGGGAGAGGAAUGUGGAAUUCCAGGUGUAGCGGUGAAAUGCGUAGAUAUCUGGAGGAACACCGGUGGCGAAGGCGGCAUUCUGGACCGAAACUGACGCUGAGGCGCGAAAGCCAGGGGAGCAAACGGG
rnacentral:rRNA from 1 species